AGAGCGAACGCUGGCGGCAGGCUUAACACAUGCAAGUCGAACGGAUCCUUCGGGAUUAGUGGCGGACGGGUGAGUAACACGUGGGAACGUGCCUUUAGGUUCGGAACAACACAGGGAAACUUGUGCUAAUACCGGAUAAGCCCUUCGGGGGAAAGAUUUAUCGCCUUUAGAGCGGCCCGCGUCUGAUUAGCUUGUUGGUGAGGUAAAGGCUCACCAAGGCAACGAUCAGUAGCUGGUCUGAGAGGAUGGCCAGCCACAUUGGGACUGAGACACGGCCCAAACUCCUACGGGAGGCAGCAGUGGGGAAUCUUGCGCAAUGGGGGAAACCCUGACGCAGCCAUGCCGCGUGGAUGAUGAAGGUCUUAGGAUUGUAAAAUCCUUUCAGGCGGACGAUAAUGACGGUACCGCAGAAGAAGCCCGGCUAACUUCGUGCCAGCAGCCGC
rnacentral:rRNA from 1 species